GAAGGUAUGAAACACUUUCUCAUGACUACUUUCAUUUCAGCCCAAGUUGAGAUGGGUCUCUCACCAUUUCUUCUUCGACUUGUCACGAGUUGGUCCCACCAUACUAUGGCAUAAUCCGAGAACUCAAUUGCCGCCAACUGUUCCCUUUUUUUCUUCGAAUAAUUAUGGCAUUCGCAGACUAACUCAAUUUUUUUCUCCCAC
rnacentral:lncRNA from 1 species